rnacentral:rRNA from 1 species
GGGGCGAGCGUUGUCCGGAUUCAUUGGGCGUAAAGAGCUCSUASGCGGCUUACUAAGUCKAGUGUGAAACCUCCAGGCUCAACCUGGAGCCUGCACUUGAUACUGGUAUGGCUUGAGUCCGGUAGGGGACCACGGAAUUCCUGGUGUASCGGUGAAAUGCGCARAUAUCAGGAGGAACACCGGUGGCGAAGGCGGUGGUCUGGGCCGGCWCUGACSCUGASGAGCGAAWGCGUGGGGAGCGAACAGGAUUARAUACCUUGGUAGUCCACGCCGUAMACRUUGGGMACUAGGUGUGGGGCCUUAUCAACKGKUUCCGUGCCKCAGCUAACGCAUUAAGUGCCCCGCCUGGGGAGUACGGSCGCAAGGCUA